GCGAAGGAAAUUAAUUUCAAAGCCAUCUUUCGAUGUUUUCUGUAAAUACAUGGCAAUUUUUUGCGGUCACUAAAGAUUUAAAAGAAAAAUUGCGUAUUAAUUAGUCUGAGGUAAGGCUCUCGCUUCAAAUUUGAAUCUGGAAUCUAUAGCAAUUCCGGAAUAAGCUAUUUAAACCAUAGACAGGCAUCGAGGACCUUUGAUAACAAUAAUUCCGCUUGUCAAAGUUAAAAUGCUUAUCAGUCAGGAACCCAUGAGCAUAGAGUUGCUGUAAUGGGCCAAAUCUGAAUGUUUCUUUGAUAUAAUUGAUACCCGAGCCUCUUGUCACAAAUGGAAAAGCAAGAACAAACUGAUUUAAUUUAGUGCGUUGGAUGCGCGAACAAAAUUGCAUUGCUGAGUGAUUGCAAGGUUUAUCUCAUGGUUUAGUUUUCUCAGAGAAUUUUAGCGAAAACGGUGAACAGAUCCAGGUGAAACUACCUUCAAGAAUUUGCAUAAAGUAAGAACCCACUCUGCAGGAUAUCGGAUCUAUUUAUACAAGGCAAGUCAAAAUAUAUAUCCGCGCUGAAGUUAACACUCCCAGUCUGCGACAGCUUUCAACCCACGCGUACACCAAGAGUCUUGUCUGAACGAGUUUGAGUCUGAAAGUGCAUUGAUCGCAGUAGUCGGCUGGCGCUGGUUAUAACUAGUCUUUUCACAUGUAAGAACGACACUCAAGUGUUUACUGCCACAGAAGAUUGCAUCCGCUGAACAACAUUCUGUGAGGAUAUCUGUAGCUGAGAAUUAGCUUAUUCUGCCAUCACCGAACCAGGUCUAAGAAUACUACCAAAGGUCCACUGCUGCCUCAAUGGAGAACCAAAAUUUCUCCGAUAUCG